rnacentral:rRNA from 1 species
UGGGGAAUAUUGGACAAUGGACCAAGAGUCUGAUCCAGCAAUUCUGUGUGCACGAUGAAGUUUUUCGGAAUGUAAAGUGCUUUCAGUUGGGAAGAAAGAAAUGACGGUACCAACAGAAGAAGUGACGGCUAAAUACGUGCCAGCAGCCGCGGUAAUACGUAUGUCACGAGCGUUAUCCGGAUUUAUUGGGCGUAAAGCGCGUCUAGGUGGUUAUGUAAGUCUGAUGUGAAAAUGCAGGGCUCAACUCUGUAUUGCGUUGGAAACUGUAUAACUAGAGUACUGGAGAGGUAAGCGGAACUACAGGUGUAGAGGUGAAAUUCGUAGAUAUUUGUAGGAAUGCCGAUGGGGAAGCCAGCUUACUGGACAGAUACUGACGCUGAAGCGCGAAAGCGUGGGUAGCAAACAGGAUUAGAUACCCUGGUAGUCCACGCCGUAAACGAUGAUUACUAGGUGUUGGGGGUCGAACCUCAGCGCCCAAGCAAACGCGAUAAGUAAUCCGCCUGGGGAGUACGUACGCAAGUAUG